rnacentral:rRNA from 1 species
GAUGAACGCUGGCGGCGUGCCUAACACAUGCAAGUCGAGCGAAGCACUUACUUUAGAUUUCUUCGGAAUGACGAAGUUUGUGACUGAGCGGCGGACGGGUGAGUAACGCGUGGGCAACCUGCCCUGUACAGGGGGAUAACAGUUAGAAAUGACUGCUAAUACAGCAUAAGCCCACAGCUUCGCAUGAAGCAGUGGGAAAAACUCCGGUGGUACAGGAUGGGCCCGCGCCUGAUUAGCUAGUUGGUAAGGUAACGGCUUACCAAGGGGACGUUCAGUAGCCGAGCAGUGAGAGUGGCCGGACACAUUGGGACUGAGACACGGCCCAGACUCCUACGGGAGGCAGCAGUGGGGGAUAGUGCAACAUGGGGGAAACGCUGAGGCAGCGACGCUGCGUGAGCGAUGAAGUAUUUGGGUAAGUAAAGCUCUAUCAGCAGGGAAGAAAGUGACGGUACCUGACUAAGAAGCCUCGGCUAACUACGUG